AGGGUUCGAUCCUGGCUCAGGAUGAACGCUAGCUACAGGCUUAACACAUGCAAGUCGCGGGGCAGCAUGAAGUCAGCUUGCUGACUUUGAUGGCGACCGGCGCACGGGUGAGUAACGCGUAUCCAACCUGCCUGUUACCACGGCACAGCCCGUCGAAAGGCGGAUUAAUGCCGUAUGUGGUCCUUUGCGGGCAUCUAAUUAGGACUAAAGGUUCAGCGGUAACAGAUGGGGAUGCGUCCGAUUAGCUAGUUGGUGAGGUAACGGCCCACCAAGGCAACGAUCGGUAGCCGGACUGAGAGGUUGAACGGCCACAUUGGGACUGAGACACGGCCCAG
rnacentral:rRNA from 1 species